GACGAGCCACACGAACGUUAUUCGGAAUUACUGGGCUUAAAGGGUGCGUAGGCUGCGCGGAAAGUUGGGUGUGAAAUCCCUCGGCUCAACCGAGGAACUGCGCCCAAAACUGCCGUGCUCGAGGAAGAUAGAGGUAAGCGGAACUUACGGUGGAGCGGUGAAAUGCGUUGGAUAUCGUAAGGAACACCUGUGGCGAAGGCGACCAUCUGGACGGAUACUGACGCUGAGACGCGAAAGCGUGGGUAGCAACAGG
rnacentral:rRNA from 1 species